AUGGUUAUAUGGCAUAUUUGGGACAAUAGAAAUUGUGCAAGAAAUGGGGAGGGUUUGCUUCAUCCGCAUCGUGUGGCUCGGAAGAUUAAAGCCUAUAUUGAUUUCAUCUUGUUGUAUAAUUUCAGCAUGACAGAACCCACAAGGCGUGAGAACCAAACUUCGGUUCAAAAUUGGUCUCCGUCGUUGAAAGGUUUGGUGAUGGGUAAUGUCGACGCUGCAGUAUUCUCACAAUCACGAUGAAUGGAAAUUGGCAUUAUUAUAAGAAAUCACAUGGGAGUGGUUCUAGCAGCCAAAAGAAGAUAUGUCAAUCAGGAAGUAAAUCCUUAACUUGCGGAAGCCAUUGUCAUGUGUGCAAUGGAAUUUGCUGAAGAAGCUGGCAUCCAAAGUAUUGUAGUGGCUUCUGACUCUGAGGCAUUGGUCACCAAAGUGAAGAAUGUUGCAAUGGAUAGAUCAUAGAUAGGUGCCAUAACUUUUGAUAUUAAGAAUAGGGCAUCAAAGUUUGUAUCUUGUUUAUUUACUCAUAUCAAUUGGUCGUGUAAUGAGGCAGCUCAUGUCCUGGCAAGAUCUUCUGAACAUGAUUGUGGUUCCUGUUGGUUUAAUGUAAUACCUGAUGUUAUCAGGACCACCAUAUGUAAUUAA
rnacentral:rRNA from 1 species